rnacentral:rRNA from 1 species
ACAAGUAGUCAGAGCCCGUUAAUGGGUGAUGGCGUGCCUUUUGUAGAAUGAACCGGCGAGUUACGAUUUGAUGCAAGGUUAAGCAGUAAAUGUGGAGCCGUAGCGAAAGCGAGUCUGAAUAGGGCGUUUAGUAUUUGGUCGUAGACCCGAAACCAGGUGAUCUACCCUUGGUCAGGUUGAAGUUCAGGUAACACUGAAUGGAGGACCGAACCGACUUACGUUGAAAAGUGAGCGGAUGAACUGAGGGUAGCGGAGAAAUUCCAAUCGAACCUGGAGAUAGCUGGUUCUCUCCGAAAUAGCUUUAGGGCUAGCCUCAAGUGAUGAUUAUUGGAGGUAGAGCACUGUUUGGACGAGGGGCCCCUCUCGGGUUACCGAAUUCAGACAAACUCCGAAUGCCAAUUAAUUUAACUUGGGAGUCAGAACAUGGGUGAUAAGGUCCGUGUUCGAAAGGGAAACAGCCCAGACCACCAGCUAAGGUCCCAAAAUAUAUGUUAAGUGGAAAAGGAUGUGGCGUUGCCCAGACAACUAGGAUGUUGGCUUAGAAGCAGCCAUCAUUUAAAGAGUGCGUAAUAGCUCACUAGUCGAGUGACACUGCGCCGAAAAUGUACCGGGGCUAAACAUAUUACCGAAGCUGUGGAUUGUCCUUUGGACAAUGGUAGGAGA